GAGUUUGAUCGUGGCUCAGAACGAACGCUGGCGGCGCGCCUAAUACAUGCAAGUCGAACGAGAAUGUGUAGCAAUACACAUGUAAAGUGGCGAACGGGUGAGGAUUACAUGGGUAACCUACCCUCGAGUGGGGAAUAACCAGCCGAAAGGUUGGCUAAUACCGCGUACGCUUCCGGGACUGCGGUUUCGGAAGGAAAGCGAUACCGUGGGUAUCGCGCUCUUGGAUGGGCUCAUGCCCUAUCAGCUUGUUGGUGAGGUAACGGCUCACCAAGGCUUCGACGGGUAGCUGAUCUGAGAGGAUGAUCAGCCACACUGGCACUGCGACACGGGCCAGACUCCUACGGGAGGCAGCAGUAAGGAAUAUUGCGCAAUGGGCGAAAGCCUGACGCAGCGACGCCGCGUGGGGAUGAAGGUCUUCGGAUUGUAAACCCCUUUCGGGAGGGAAGAUGGGAUGGGGUAACCCAUUCGGACGGUACCUCCAGAAGCAGCCACGGCUAACUUCGUGCCAGCCGCCGCGGUAAC
rnacentral:rRNA from 1 species